GGGAAGAGAGAGAGAGAAAGAGAAUUGAUUUUUGGUCUUUUGAGACUUCUGUAGAUUGUAUGAUAGAUGAUUUCAACUGGGUUAUCUUCUGUUUUCUCUGGUUGCAGUGAUGCAGCUGGAAUUGCUGGGAAUAUAUUUGCUUUUGUGCUAUUUUUACGCCUAUUUCCUUCCCUCGGCUUCCUUGUUAGACCAACAUUUAGGAGAAUUAUCAGAAGCC
rnacentral:misc_RNA from 1 species